GUACCAUAAAGAGUGCGUGAGGGACAAGCCCUGAGACCGCACAGCAACCUGCGUAUAUGUAAGGUGCUAAAGCUUGAACGAUGGGAU
rnacentral:ncRNA from 1 species